rnacentral:rRNA from 1 species
UACGUAGGGUCCAAGCGUUAUCCGGAAUCACUGGGCGUAAAGCGUGCGUAGGCGGCGUGUUAAGUGUGAUGUUAAAUCAUGUGGCUCAACCAUAUUGAUGCAUUGCAUACUGGCAUGCUUGAGGAAGGCAGAGGCAAGUGGAAUUGGCAGUGUAGCAGUGAAAUGCGUAGAGAUUAGGAAGAACACCAGUGGCGAAGGCGACUUACUGGACUGUAACUGACGCUGAGGCAUGAAAGCGUGGGGAGCAAACAGG